UUGUAAACCUCUUUUGUCAGGGAGCAAGAGGCGGGUCGAGACCUGCUGUGAGAGUACCUGAAGAAAAAGCAUCGGCUAACUCCGUGCCAGCAGCCGCGGUAAUACGGAGGAUGCGAGCGUUAUCCGGAUUUAUUGGGUUUAAAGGGUGCGCAGGCGGAGGCACAAGUCAGCGGUAAAAUCGCGGGGCUCAACCCCGCUCCGCCGUUGAAACUGUGUCCCUUGAGUGCGCGAAGGGUAGGCGGAAUGCGUGGUGUAGCGGUGAAAUGCAUAGAUAUCACGCAGAACUCCGAUCGCGAAGGCAGCCUACCGGCGCGCAACUGACGCUCAUGCACGAAAGCGUGGGUAUCGAACAGGAUUAGAUACCCUGGUAGUCCACGCAGUAAACGAUGAAUGCUAUCUGUCCGGCCGGAAUGACGGCUGG
rnacentral:rRNA from 1 species